rnacentral:lncRNA from 1 species
GACACGUGUCCAGGCAGGCACGUGUGUCUGCCCGCAGUAUUUACAGCCUGGCUGGGAUGGAACGGAAGGAGGGAGGAGAAAGAAGGCAGGACUUCCACUGCCUCAGCUAGACAGGAGACCAUCAGGUUGCUGGCAAGCAGGGAGGCAGCCUGUCCUGACAGGUGUCUGUGUGCAAGCACCCCCAAGGUCCCCCAGAAGAGAAGGGUCACAGCUGGCUGGGUGAUGGGAGCCACUGCUGGUGGAGUCUUCAGGAAGCAGGCUGGCCUGCUGUCUCCUGCACCUGCUCCAGGUCACAGAGCACACUUGAGGAUGAGGGGACAGGAAACCAAGGCCCUGGGAAGGGGAAGAGACCUGCGUUAGGACACAAAGCAGAUGGAGGCCUGUCUAUCUCCAGCCCGAAGAUGUGAUGGCAAGCAAGCGCAAGACAACAUCAAAUACAAGAACUCCAAACCCCUGCCCUGCCAUUAUCGGCCUGUGUGGCCCCAGGCUGCUUAUUCUAUGACUCUGUG